GAACCACUUUUACAAUAUUGGAGAUAUGUAGUGGAAUAAAUGCCUGGAAAGACAAUUAUUGUCUGACAAUAUAAACUAUAAAUUGAAACCGGAAUGCAAUGAUAAGAAAGGGAAAUAUGGAAUAAAUGCCUGGAAAUACAAUAUAAACUAUAAUUUUAAACUGGAAUGCAAUGAUAAGAAAGGGAAAUAAACUAUUGCUAAGUCUAAAGAACCACUGAAGCUGAAGAAUUGAGAUACAACAAUCUUUGACUGACUUUAGGUGUAAGACGUUCGCCCAGCUAUUGUAGACCGCAUGGAAUCGAUUCAAGUCCUUUAAAAAUUUGUGAAUCAAGAUGAGAAUGAACUUAGUGAAUCUAUUGGUGGCGAUCGAAGGUGGACAGCAAGAUCGAAGCUCAGCAAGAUUGAAGAUUGUUCGAAGAAGAAGGAGUUCGCCGUUGACUAAAAGGUUUAUCUGAACAGCUAGUUGUCAAGAUGAAUGCGAAGACUCGCCCGGCCAAAUUCAAAAUGGCGAUGCCAAAGAAAACCAUCCACCUGGACCGUUCGCAGACCUUUCUGGGCAAGAUUGUUGUGCUGUCUGGUCAAAGUUAAGUAUUUUACUUUGAUGUUUGUGUGCCUUCGGCUAAUUGUUGGCCAGAAAUGACAAAAAGCCAUAUACAAUAUGAAAUAUUCUGCGUACAAGGUUAUCUAAAAUUUCGAACUUAAUUCUGCCUGCAAUGAUGAUAAUUUUUUACUGAAAAUUUAUGUCAUGAGCAACUUCCGCACCUAUAGACUGAAGCAGAACUGAACAUUUUGUCAUUAACGUUUAUCUCAACAGCCAGUUAUCAAGACGAACGUCAAGAGAACAGUUGAAAUAG